UCUUCUUUCAUUGCAUUUAUUGAUCUAUCGUAUUAUGUGCAAAUGCAGAGCGAAGUAUAAGCUGUCGGUGUUGUCAAUACAUUUCAUAACGCCCGCGCGCGCCUCUUCAAGCCGAGCGAGGUACGCGUGACGUCACGUAUCGCGCGCGAAAAGUUGCUCCUGAACGUCGCGCCGAGUGUUUCUCUUGCUAAUUAUCAACAUGGCCGCGCGUGAGUACGUCGCGUCAGGAUUGUUGAAUCAGUUUCGGGCGGCGCGUUAAUUAAAGUGCACGCGCGAGAGAGGUACUUUUUCGAUUCGAAUCGCGAUCGGCCAGGAGGACGGCCUUCCAAGGAACCGGAUGCUCGCCGCGGUCCGAAGUAUGGUUAUAUUCGCUCGGAGAGAAUCGCGACGCGUCGUAGUGGUUAAAAGAGUGGUUCGAUGAAUAAUUAAUAAGCAGAUGCUACUCCGUGCGUCUUUGCGAAGUGUGGCUGUAUCGGAGUGCGUAUCUCGGGAAUGCGUCGACGAUCAUCGAACGGAAAUUGGCUUGGACGAAGCAGCCGGCGACGAGAACAACGCGGAAUCUGGUGGUUGGCGUAAAUAACUCACGGUUCACACAACGUUAGAGAGAGACAGCGGUUCACACAACGUUAGAGAGAGAUAGCGGUUCACACAACGUUAGAGAGAGACAGCGGUUCACACGGAGAAUUAAUUGGCAUUUUUGCUUCUUCACAUAUUCUUCGAGGUGGACAGCGACGAGAAGAGGACAACGUCCAUUGUCGCCGAUUUGGACAUGACUAAUAAAAUAAACAAAUCGCAGCCGAUUUGUCGCGUCGCGCGUUUGCUUCGGGAGUGCCGUUUGAGUAUUGGACUAAAUAGACUUUUUUCAUAACUCCCAUUCGAUAGAAUUCUAAUUCGAGGGCCGGGAAUCGCACCCCCGCUGCUUGGCAGUGGAUAUAUUCUCACUGGGGCGUUGCGCAUGGUGGCCGCGCGCGGCGCACCGCGAUGUUCCAUGCCGAGUGCCCGUGCACGAGGUAAUGCCGGGCCGCGUUAUAGCAUGUUUCCCCUGUGUGCAUGUUGCGCGGCUGUCUGGUUGUGUGAGGUUUACACGCUCUGUCUCCGGCAAUUGGUUCGGUCCUAAGCGGUAAGAGUUCGGAUCGGUUGCCUUGGAUUCGCACGUUUCUCUUGCUCUCGUCCACCUAAGGCUUUCUUAGAUCCUUGAUACCCUUUUUGGAUUCUUUGGAUCUGGGGUUCGAACCAGUGAAUCACGUUUAAUCUGACUUGGUCAGAACUUGGCCUUGUAGGUUAAGCUUGUGACGAGAGGCUGGCUCUCAUUUCCUGAUUCGUCUAAAAUGCUAGACGUCGGCAAUGAGUACCUUCUUCUCUCGUCCUGCCGGAGUGUCUUGUCGACGCCGCUUGGAUAUAAGAUCCAGUGGGACUGAUCUCGAUGAUCCGUUGGCUGGGCUUAUGAACGAGUCAAUUUUAGACGUGAUUUUUGUGAGACAAGAGGCUUCGGAUUCAAUGCCAUUGAUUUUGUUUUCUUCCGCGUGGGGCUUACCCUUUUUCGGGGGCGGGUACGCGUGCGUCCUACUCGCCGACUCGGGGUGCUGAAUCCACGGGAAUCCCUCUAAAUGGGAACUCAUAUCAUGGGUUUUAUAAACCCGAAGUGCCGCAGUAUCGCCCAAAAAACUUUAUAAAUGGUUAGUCCACGCUCGCAAAAUUAGUAUAUUAUUCGCGAGUGUUUCGUGUGUGCAACGAGAGGAAGACAACUUAAAGAACACUGAGAGGAGGAGGAGGCCUGGGAGAGGCAUCGGGCUUCAGCGGAGCAACCUUGGAUAAUCACCGCAGCUUCGUGACUGAUCAACUCCGCUCGUUGCGCAUCGGAUCGGUGAGUCAGAAAUCAAUUUUCUUAUUAUAUUUCAUGUUUGCAAUUGUCCUGCGCAUCAAAGAAAAGUGUAAAUCUUAAUGUUUUAUGUUAGUAAUCUUAGCUUCGUACAUUUUUUGUUUCGCUGAUUUAAUCUUUUUAAGAUUAAACUCUCUUUAAACUCUAAACUUUAAACUCUCUUAAUACUUUAAACUCCCUGGGUGUCGUGAGCGCGACGUUUAAUGCUCGGUAUAAUCAAACGCGUGUAUUUUCACUAGAAACAUGCGGGCAUGUGCGACUACAAUCGCACUAUGGCGCGGGAACGGAAAUGUAACUAAACAAACGCACGUUCUGGGAUCGCGUUAAGUGUUUGCACGGGUAGUUGGGCUGUAUUAUACCACACGGUUGGGACAAGCACGACACGCUUAGCAACGUGAAUUCUAGCCACGAGACAAAUACUCGCGCAAUAAUGACAUCAAUAUUUUUGCAAUGCGGACGAAACGAAUACAAAAUUCACAUUUUGAAGUAUGCUACAUAUCUAUUUUAAAUAUUAAAUAGUAACAAAAUUGCGAAUUAAUAGAUUGAAUCUUUUUAACCUUAUUUUUUACUUAUGAUCCGUGUUAAGUAUAGUAUAUAACUAUUAUGGCGAAAUACUCGUCUUGUAUAAUAAAUUACAGCAAAUAAUUUUUGUUAUUAACAAUUUUUGGUUUAUUAUUUUGAACAAAAAUAAUUCAAUAAAUAAUUACUGCUGCUAUAAUUAAUGAUUUGUUGCAAGUUCUUAUUUAUCAAUUUUGAAUUAUUAAAUAAGGUAACAAUGUAGUUACUAUUUGGUAUUUAGUUUUAAAUAAAAUAGA